rnacentral:rRNA from 1 species
GAUGAACGCUAGCGGCAGGCUUAACACAUGCAAGUCGAGGGGCAACACGGGUAGCAAUACCUGGUGGCGACCGGCGCAAGGGUGCGUAACGCGUGAGCAACAUGCCCUAUACAGGGGGAUAAUCCAGGGAAACUUGGUCUAAUAUCCCAUAGUAUUUAGAGGUGGCAUCACCACUAAAUUAAAGCUUCGGUGGUAUAGGAUUGGCUCGCGUGACAUUAGCUGGAUGGUGGGGUAACGGCUCACCAUGGCGAUGAUGUCUAGGGGUUCUGAGAGGAAGACCCCCCACACUGGGACUGAGACACGGCCCAGACUCCUACGGGAGGCAGCAGUGAGGAAUAUUGGACAAUGGAUGGAAAUCUGAUCCAGCCAUGCCGCGUGCAGGAAGACGGCCCUAUGGGUUGUAAACUGCUUUUAUAUGGGAGCAAUAAGGUUUACGCGUAGACCGAUGAGAGUACCAUAUGAAUAAGCAUCGGCUAACUCCGUG